GUAACAAAGCCAGAUUUGGGUUUGAUUUGAAGUCAUAUAAUGCUUAUGCUUGUUAUG
rnacentral:tRNA from 1 species